rnacentral:lncRNA from 1 species
AUUAAGGAGGUAGACCUAGGUUAAGGGAAAUAACUCUUUAAAUCAUCAGUACGUUUGUGUCAACCAUUUUUAAAAAUAUAUUCUAAGCUUCUAGGUUACAUAGAUUAUUUUCAAUCUGUUUCAGGUAAAUGCUUAAAAUACAUUGAUGAACUUGACUUUUACAAACGUACUGAUGAUUUAAAGAGUUAUCUCCCUGAACCAAGGUCUACCCCCU